UACGGAGGGGGCUAGCGUUGUUCGGAAUUACUGGGCGUACAGCGCACGUAGGCGGCUUUGCAAGUUAGAGGUGAAAGCCCGGGGCUCAACUCCGGAAUUGCCUUUAAAACUGCAUCGCUAGAAUUGUGGAGAGGUAAGUGGAAUUCCGAGUGUAGAGGUGAAAUUCGUAGAUAUUCGCAAGAACACCAGUGGCGAAGGCGCUCACUGGCCCGGUACUGACGCCUGAGGUGCGAAAGCGUGGGGAGCAAA
rnacentral:rRNA from 1 species